AUGGCAGCAGCAGCUCUUCUCCCGCCGCUGCUCCCUACGCCGCCGAGGAGCGAGAUGCUGCCGAUCCUCCCGACGCCGCCCAAGAGCGAGAUGCUGCCGCUGUUGCCGACGCCGCACGGACUCGUCCUCACCAUGAGCACCGAUCGUGCCGGCUCCGUCGAGAGGUGGGAUGCGGACAAGAAAUACAAGAAGCCCCGCACCAUCAUGUCCUCAUCGUCAUACAGCGCCGGGAGCCCCGGACGCGCCGACUCCGUCGAACGCUGGGACAGCAAGAAACUCGCGCCCUCGUGCAGCGCGUCCCCGCCCACGGAUCGCGGCCGCCAUGACGGCGACAACAAGCGCCUGCCUAGCCCUAGCCGCGGCGCUGCAGCGACGACGCCGGCGCAAGCAACGACACCGCAGAAGACCAUGUUCGCCGGGCCCAACUUCCACGCCUCGCCGGAUCCGAGCAUGCUCCCCAUGCCCUCCUUCUUUCUGCUGGCACGUUCGCGUGCACUCUGUACUAGUAAUUAA
rnacentral:rRNA from 1 species